CGUAGCGUAGCUAACCGCUCCACUACCGCUACCACCACACCGUACACAAGUACACACGCGCACACACAGUGGGUGUUACAGCCAACAGCCCCUGGACUCCUGUGCACCGCCCUUCAGCGCCGAAUGUAACUCGAGCAAUGUCACGUCAAAUAUAACCUCACGAAAAAUGAAAAGUCCAAGCCUAUCAUGAAUCACCGUUCAUGUGAAUCUGGAUGUGAAGAGACGUGUUUGCCUCAUUGGCGGCAAGCUUGGUGGUAUACAUGUGCGUGCGCGUGUGUUUGAGAGUGUGUGUGUGUGUUAAAGGCAAACGAAACAUUUAAUUGUAGGGAGAGCACUUAAUCCACAGUCGAUGAAAUGCUCUAAAUUAUAGGUAUUUUCAUUUUUUCGGUUCAACGUGAUAAAUAUUAGUUUUAGCUAAAUUACACGGGGCAUAGUGCAUGACAGUAUAAAUAAUUGCCGCCUGCUUUGUUCAGCAAAGUCAUUAUUUUUAUAGGCAACAAGACUGCUACAUAAGCCAUACACGCCGGCACGUGGAGGCAAUCACUCCGUCCACUGCAGUGCGGCGCGCAGCAACGCUCCGCACGAGAUUUAACGUUGCCGUGAAUGUGCAGCGGGAUGACCCGACAGAGACGGCCCCAGGCCUUGGCGGAGAGAGGAGGAGGAGGGGGGGGGGGUGAGUCGCGCUACUGCGGACAGCCCCACCGCGGGCUGCGGUGCGAGGUGACGCGCACGGACAGAGAUCGGUGGGCGGCCAAAAGCAGAGGCGUGGUGGCACAGGCGGGCGAUGUCGUAGCCGCCGUUACUGGUGAUGUGAAGCCACAGGGAGGAGGAGGAGGAGGUGAGGGUGUCUCGUCGAGGAUGACAGAUGACGGUGCUCAUAUUCAGUCGUUUACAACUGCAGCUGAAUAGUCGCAGCAGUCCUCAAUUUGAACUCUGGGAAUCGGCAGAUCUCGCUCGCUAUCCUAAUACUAAAACAUAUUUUAAACCAAACUAUUUAUUUUACCAGGUAAAGCCCACGAACAGGCACACUUGUAUGCAGAUUUUGUUUUAUUCAUCCAAAUGUUCCUAAAGCACUCCCCUUAUAUUCCAUCGUUGUAAGCCAGGUCCGCCCUGGGUAGGUGGACUCUGACGUCUUGUCGGGUUGUGUGCCUCCAACAAGCUAUCCUCCUCGCUGGUUUCAGUGAACGCGUUCCCUAUCCAUAAUGUAGAUUUGUUUUGGGUGAGAUUGCGUAAACCUAAAUGUGUUGUUAAACCCGCCACCACCCGACACAGUCAACUAGUAAGGGUUGUCACGUAGACGGAACGUGUCAAUUCGUUACUAGUACAGCACACCGGUGUGUUGGAGAGUAAAUCCACUACAUUUUCAAUCCCUAUGUUUCCUAUGCCUGCCACACACCUGUACAGACGGACUCCCAUACACAGACCAAUUAAAAUAACGAGGAUAAAUAAUCAUGCUGUAAAUUUAGAGUUUGUGAAAUAGACUAACUAUACCCACACAAAUACCGCGAAGUUAAUGAUUCGCGCGAUCACACUCCACGAGCACGGCCCUCGCAAAACAAGCGGCCUUUAUUUACAAAUCAACAGCAAAAAUAUCGGAGGGCUAAUUUAGUCGAAUUCACUCGAGGAUGAAAAAAAGUGGAAUGCUCCUGCCACUCACCCCCCCCCCCAAACCUGGCUCACCACCCAUAGCCCCCCCCCCCCUCAUCCCCACAUAUUCAUAGCCAUCAAUCCACCCCUGCCAACAUCUGUAAAAUAAAAUAAAAAUAGUCGGAUAGGUUGACACAUUUGUCUUUGCGGCGUGGGUCACACGGACGCUGGGCUAGACAGCAGACAGGAGAAUGCAGCUUUGAAAUAUGCCCCCUCGUCCUCUUCGUCCUCCUCGUCCCCCCCACCCCCUCCUCGUCCCCCUCCUCGUCCUCGUCGUCUGUCACGGCGUAGGUCCCAGCCGCCACCCACGUCCACGGCGCCAUUUUUCCUUCUGCCAAGCGACGGCGCUGCCCCCUUGCGAACCCCGACCGGGGGUCCGGGGUGGGGGGUGGUGACUGCGACAGGCCCUCCCCCCCCCCCCCAGCUUGUGGAGACUGGCAGCAGCAAGUGGCCAGAGAGGGGUGUGAGGGAGCAGACGUUAGCGCCUGAAGAAGAAUGUUCUUAACCCUUGAAAAAGAACGUGGAAUAUCUGCAGCAAGCGUUGAGCGUGUGCAAGAAAUAAACUAUUUUUUACUGCCCCUAGUUUAGCAUGUGCGGAGUACAGGGCACAUUGCAGGGCGUUUUAAAACAGUGGGGGGAAAAGAGAGACAUUAAUGUCAGAGCUCGCCUCCUACGGGAGGCUGUGCCAAGUGAGUGAUGGAGGCCAUUUAGGCUCUGGCCCUGAUGUAUAUUCUACUCAACGAGUGAAAGCAUUUCCCAUGAAGUUAGAUUGCUGGGCGGCCAAACUUAUCCAUCCCCCAGCGGACUCCAUUUCACGUUCUUUUAGGGCACCGGAGCCGAAGGCUCAUUUGGCCUAACUAAGGCCACGUCCUAAGAUGUACUUUGGGAUGGAACGAGACACACAAACCUUCAGGGAGGCGACGAGGGGAUGUGUGGGGGGAGUUGGGGGCCUGUUUUGAGGGGUUUUACACUGGCACUUAUUGCUAUUUUUAAAAUUCCCAAACCCACAGAGGAUUGCUUCGCGAAGCUAAGACUGGGAAAUAGUCACCGAGCUAAUGUGAAAUGAAUGUAAACAUCGUAAAAGGACACGUUUUCACAUCGUCUUAAUUCAUUUUUCAAUGGACUACCUUUUUGCCAAAAGAGGGCAUCCUUAAAUUCUUUCCAUGACAUCAAUGUCACCCUGGCAAACACUGCUGCCAAAGGUUUUUAUAGUGCGAAUAAAUAAAUAAAAGGCCACGCCACAAGGUGAUGAUAAAUGUGUCCAGCGUGAUUACCCCCGUGCUAUUUUUUGUUUUGUACUCCGUUCGACAGGCCGCUGCUAACCCCUCGA